UCCGAAGGGUGCAAUCGUUACUCGGAAUUACUGGGCGUAAAGCGUGCGUAGGUGGUUUGUUAAGUCUGAUGUGAAAGCCCUGGGCUCAACCUGGGAAUGGCAUUGGAAACUGGCGAGCUAGAGUGCGGUAGAGGGUAGUGGAAUUCCCGGUGUAGCAGUGAAAUGCGUAGAGAUCGGGAGGAACAUUCGUGGCGAAGGCGGCUACCUGGACCAGCACUGACACUGAGGCACGAAAGCGUGGGGAGAAAACAGG
rnacentral:rRNA from 1 species